ACGCAUGAAUAAUAAUUUUUAUUAUGCAAAUUCUUCCAUAAAUCAUGUCGUGUUAAAUUAUUCUUUACCGUAAGGGGGAUCUCCAUAGGAUGCGUAUGUACAAUAUACAAAUUUUUAUAGCAGCACCUACAUAGCAACGCAUGAAAGUGUAAGACAAUUGUGUGAAUUUUGAUUUCUAAGUGUAAAUGUCAAACGCACGCAUACGGAUACGCAUACUAUGGAAGUCCGCCUUUAUGUGUACAUGCGUUGUCACAAGCAAAACUUAAGAAAAUUGCAGUAAAAAGCCAUCACUAAAUUGUAAACAACGAACUAAUAUAAACAAACGGCUGUCAAAAUCGCUACUUUUUUCCUAAAUGCGAAUAUAACGGGCUACUAAGACGACUGCGGCAUUUGUGGUAAACGAUUUUCACGUGGUCACCAUCUUCGAGCGCACCUGGAAUCACUGCUGCAUCAGAACGAUCCUCGCUCUAAAAUACUUCUCAAGCAAAUUAGGCGUGAGGAAGAUCAAAUGGCUGCGUAACGGAAAAGGUCGCUUGACUACUUGUACAGCAGUAUACAAUGAAUAGUAUAUGAAUUCUUUGCUUUCAAAUAUAUAUAACAAGAUUAUACAAAACGAUAAACAGUAGUUUUUAGUAGUACUUGCAUUAUGUUCUUGUAUUUGAAUAUUGAUUGAAUGUGCGCUCACAUUUAAAGUUGUUUUGGCAAACGAGGAAGCAUGUAAAAAUCCUUUUUAUAUCAAAUAUGUUCAUUAAUUAGGCUAAAUUUUACGACUCUACAACAUUGGCAUUGUCUACUGUCGUGCUGAAAUGAGUAAACGACGAAAAUCGUC